rnacentral:rRNA from 1 species
AGAGUUUGAUCCUGGCUCAGAUUGAACGCUGGCGGCAUGCUUUACACAUGCAAGUCGAACGGCAGCACGGGGGCAACCCUGGUUGCGAGUGGCGAACGGGUGAGGAAUGCACCGGAACGUAUCUUCAAGUGGGGGAUAACGCAUCGAAAGGUGUGCUAAUACCGCAUAAUCUCUGAGGAGAAAAGCAGGGGAUCGCAAGACCUUGCGCUUUUGGAGCGGCCGAUGCCUGAUUAGCUUGUUGGUGAGGUAAAAGCUCACCAAGGCUCCGAUCAGUAGCUGGUCUGAGAGGACGACCAGCCACACUGGGACUGAGACACGGCCCAGACUCCUACGGGAGGCAGCAGUGGGGAAUUUUGGACAAUGGGGGCAACCCUGAUCCAGCCAUGCCGCGUGAGUGAAGAAGGCCUUCGGGUUGUAAAGCUCUUUCAGCCGGAACGAAACGGUCACGGUCAAUACCCGUGACUACUGACGGUACCGGAAGAAGAAGCACCGGCUAACUACGUGCCAGCAGCCGCGGUAAUACGUAGGGUGCGAGCGUUAAUCGGAAUUACUGGGCGUAAAGCGUGCGCAGGCGGUUUUGUAAGUCAGAUGUGAAAUCCCCGGGCUUAACCUGGGAACUGCGUUUGAAACUGCAAGGCUAGAGUGUGGCAGAGGGGGGUGGAAUUCCGCGUGUAGCAGUGAAAUGCGUAGAGAUGUGGAGGAACACCAAUGGCGAAGGCAGCCCCCUGGGUCAACACUGACGCUCAGGCACGAAAGCAUGGGGAGCAAACAGGAUUAGAUACCCUGGUAGUCCAUGCCCUAAACGAUGUCAACUAGUUGUCGGGUCUUAACGGGCUUGGUAA